rnacentral:lncRNA from 1 species
UAUUAGUUAAAAAAUGAAUUAUUAUACAAGUUUUUGAUUAGCCUGGCAUAAAAGUAUCUAAAGUUUCUUUUCGUAUGGAUAAGAGAUUGAAAAAUCGAAUGAGCCUACUAACACUAAUACUUUAGCCAACACAAACUAGAGAUGAGUAUAACCUAAAGAGCUCAUACACUUAUACUAAAGAUGCAUGGUGAUAUGCUGCUCCUCUGUUGCACUUUUAGUUCAUAUUCUACCCACGCUUGUUACUGCAUUGCACCCAUCAGGUACAUAAAUAUUGGGGUUAUUACAACAACAACAACAACAAAUUUAAAAAAGUGUCAUGCUUGUCCUUCGUGGAAUUCAAAAUACAAAUUCUUUUAUUUUACUGGGCAGCCUUCUUCUGUGCCUUCUAUUAACAAUUCAAAUCAAACAAAUUUAUAUAAACAAUCAAAAGUAUAAACGUUAUUUAGGAUACGAACAAUAUAUCAAUGAAAUAUCGAAAGAAUUGAAAACUAUUGAAAAAAAUGCCAAUAAAUCUUCAACAUAUGUUCAUCACUUAAAUGAGAUACUUUACAAACAUCGUGAAAGAGAUACAAAAAAUGCUUCGUUGUCACGAAUAGCAAAAUUAUUGCGAGGACAGACAAACUAAAACAAGGAUAUACAGCGAUCUAUUAAGUAUUUUUUAAUAUAUUUAUUUAUUUGUAAAUAUAUAUAUAUAUAUGUAUAUACGUUAAUAUAAAAUGUAGAAAUAAACUUUUUAUCUUGAUAGAUUAUAUCAUUGAAUACAUAACAAAAUUAACGAGUAUAAAAAGAGAAUUAUUAAAGAAAGAUCAUAUUUCCUAAUCUAUAUUAUAUAAAGGCAUACAUUGCGCAUUGUUUAUAUAAUCACCAGUAUUUUCUAAUACACCAUGGGGAUAACAUACCCAUGGAUCAUUGGUAGCUUUUUGCCAAUCAAGCAAUUGUUUUUGUAAAUUGAUCACUAUGCUCUAUAAAAUUGUUUUCAGUUAA